CGUGCAGCCGGGUCUGCAAGUCAGAUGUGAAAUCCAUGGGCUCAACCCAUGAACUGCAUUUGAAACUGUAGAUCUUGAGUGUCGGAGGGGCAAUCGGAAUUCCUAGUGUAGCGGUGAAAUGCGUAGAUAUUAGGAGGAACACCAGUGGCGAAGGCGGAUUGCUGGACGAUAACUGACGGUGAGGCGCGAAAGUGUGGGAGCAAACA
rnacentral:rRNA from 1 species